rnacentral:tRNA from 1 species
CCACGAGCUGGGCCACGGCAACGCCCACGAGAGCCUGAUGAGCCCUUCGGAGCUGCAGGCCGACCUGGCGAUCUACUCGCUGUUCGUGUUCC